rnacentral:rRNA from 1 species
UACAGAGGUCUCAAGCGUUGUUCGGAUUCAUUGGGCGUAAAGGGUGCGUAGGCGGCGCGGUAAGUCGGGGUGUGAAAUCUUCGGAGCUUAACUCCGAAACUGCAUUCGAUACUGCCGUGCUUGAGGACUGGAGAGGAGACUGGAAUUCAUGGUGUAGCAGUGAAAUGCGUAGAGAUCAUGAGGAAGACCAGUGGCGAAGGCGGGUCUCUGGACAGUUCCUGACACUGAGACACGAAGGCCAGGGGAGCAAACGGG